GUGGUAACUAGUAAUGAGGGCCAC
rnacentral:siRNA from 1 species